AUGUCACGUCUGUCCUUGUUUCCUUUCACAGUUGCUGAAGUCUUCUUAGAGUCUUUCCUGAAGUCUAAGUGUGAUGAGAGCAGAGGUACCUCCGUUUCAUCACUGCAUCCUGGGCACCUAGUGGACCUGGCAAAGUGCAGCCCUAUGAGAACUCGGAGGAGUGCUGUCUGCCUCUGCUUCAUUAAUUCCGGAGAGACCUUCUCUGCUAGAAUGUUCCAAGGUCUCACGGGAGGCAGGAGAAACGGUGCCCUGAAGAGGUCCCGCCCCAAUGCCUGUGAAUGUGCUACGUCACACGUAGAGAGAGCUGGUCUUUUGGGGAGAUCCUCCUGCGUUACCUGGUGUGCCCGAUGUGAUCCAGUGGAUCCUUCAAAGUAGAAGAGGUAUAUACACCCCAGAGAGUUAAAAACAGGUACUCCCACAACUACGGGUCCAUGUGUGGUCACACCUGCCCUGGUCACAAUCGUCAAAAGGUAGUCAUAGCCAGUGUCCGGGAACAGAUGCCUGGAUGAACAAAAUGCAGUGUAUAUACGCAGUGAAAUAUUAUCCAGACAUAGAAAGGCAUGAAGUACUUAUACUUAGUACGACACCAAGGAACCUCUAAAACAUUAUCCUAGAUGAAGGAAGCCAGACGCCGAGGUCACACGUUGUAUGGUUUCAUGCAUAUGAAAUAUCCAGCACAGGUGCAUCCAGUGAGACAGAAAGCAGGUUGGUGUUGCCACGGGCUUGGGGGCAAGGGGAAUGGGGAAUAACCGCUCAAUGGGUGAAGGUCCUACUUGGGAGUUGUUCUAACUGAAAAAAAAAUAAAAUCACCAAUGAUUAGCA
rnacentral:lncRNA from 1 species